rnacentral:rRNA from 1 species
AGACGUCUACAUUAGAUACCCCCUGUAGUCCCAGCCGUAAACUAUGCGCGUUAGGUGUAUCGGUGACCACGAGUCACCGAGGUGCCGAAGGGAAACCGUGAAACGUGCCGCCUGGGAAGUACGGUCGCAAGGCUGAAACUUAAGGAAUUGCGGGGAGCACCACAACAGGUGGAGCCUGCGGUUUAAUUGGAUUCAACGCCGGACAUCUCACCGGAUAAGACAGCUGAAUGAUUGUCAAUCUGAAGGUUUUACAUGACUAGCUG